AUGAUUUGUUAUCCGCCUCCUUUCUUCGGCCUCGAUUCACACAAACAGAGAUACGAUACAACAAAAGAGAGUACUGAAGAUUACCUGCCGGAAAACACUCUGGUGCGCCUUCAAUCGACGGUGCUGAGAAGGAACAAGAAAAAGAUCUUCAAUGAAAAUUCGAGAAACAUUGAAGCUGGCGAUGAAGAGAAAAUGUUGAAAUUGUCGUUGCAGUUCUGCGAAUCUGUUGCAGGAUCGCUAUGCUUCACCUUUUGA